GGGCCACCGGAGGGAAAAAAAGAGAAAGAAAACUGAAAUGAGGAAGAGAUUGAGAAAGAAAAUCCUCUGGAGUCAGAACUCAAGGCUCUGAGAAAGUCACAGAAAAAGAAGGAAAAGCAAGUCAAGCAGCCAGGUAGGAGUCUUAACAACUGUUACUAUCUUACUGUGUGAGACACUUCCCUUCCAGUGAGAGACAGAAACACAAACUACUCUGGCCACCUGGAUUAUGUUACCAUUUAAUUGUUUGCCUAGAAUUAAAUGGUUUGAGGGACUAGGAGAUCCCAGAACCUUGCUCCUUUGUACUCGCUGUCUGAAAUAAAUUGUCCUGUUUGCCAAUUUGCUUUUCCACAAAGAGAGGCUCCAUCCUGUCUCUGAUUUUUUUUUUCAAAAGCCUAUUUCUGCAUUUUAAAAUUCAUUUUCAAGACUCUAUUUAGCUGAGAUGAGAGUAAAACCAUUUAAUGACUAAAGUUUGGAAUCUAAGUAGAUGAAAUUAUUUAUGUAGAUCAUUAGAAAUACAUGAGUGGCCUCCCUGGCUUCCUGUCUAGGGAAAGCUUAUCAUUAAAUAUGUUUCCCAGCCGCUACCAAAACUGAUGCAACACCCAUCUCAACCUUCCACAGACCCUCAUUUAUAUUUCCAAAAGCAACAGCUCUUUUCGACAAACAAUGAACAUACUUGUUAUGGGUUUAAAUUAGAAUUCUUCAUUUGGAAUUUGUGAAUAUGGGGAUAUUCUGGGAAACGUCCAGAAAAAAAAAAAAAAAAAAAAAUCCUACCAAGGGUUCAGCAAACAGUUGCAUAACCCUCUUUUUAUCUGGGGUGUUGACCCAGCCAUUCAUUCCAUGUUUGCUAUGGUGAGUUCAGCAAGGCUGGUUCCCAUGGCAACCGUAAUCCCUGAACAGAGCCUGCUCCAUUGGUGGUCAGUUACAACACGCUUUGUCCUGUCAGUGUCCUGCCACCGCCUGAAUGGAGAGACAGAAACAAGCACCUUCAGUAAACAUGACCCAAUGAGGGUGGUGGCCUCCGGUUUACUGCAGUGAGCCGCCUGGAAGACUCCGGAAGAACCCUGGCAGGGACACAGGCAAGCCACCUCGCAAAGGAGUUCCUUUCAAAGAGGCUCUCUUAGUUGGGGGGUUAAAUGGCCUAAAACUAUCCCAUCCAUCCCAUCUCAGGGCCAAGGAAUGAUCUUUGGAUUGAUGGACCUUUUUGGACGACUAUGGCCAUCGAUGAAUUUGGGACUCUCAAAGGGAAACAGUUUAUAUAAAUGUGACUCCUCAGGAAGAAUAUUGGGGCCCAAUACGCAAUUAUCUAUAAUAUAAUUGACUUCAGCCAACAGAGGAAAGAGGGAAGGAAUUAUACCUAUUUGGGUUCUGGAUUAAGGAAGAAUACUAGUUUUUAUCAAGUCUUUACAUAUGCUAGAUGCAGACGUGGAGGCAUGAAGAAGUCCAGCACUUUAAGGCCAUAGCCCUAGUAAGUGGCAGAGGUGGGGUUAGAACCCCGGUGAAUAGUUCUGGAAUCCUUCCCCAAGUGCCUAUCUCUACCAGACCCAGUGACCUCAGGUUUCCCAUGAAAACUCAGCAUUUUAUGACUCUCCUAAGAACUUCCUUAUUCAACAAUAUUGUCUUCCAUUUAACCCAGGUGCGUGUAUUGUACACUAUUGCUCUAGAAGAAAAAUCAGAAUGGAUUCAUCCCCCAGAAAAAUAGAGAUGAAAACACAUUCUUCUUCUUCCAUAUAAUUAGAAUCUUAGAGGACAAUCUCCAAGUGUAUACGUAGGCAGAAAAGUAAGUGAGGGGAUGGCAGUUGAGGAUGGAAGAAGGUUAGGUCACCCUGACCCUAACUCUUUAUUCUACAUUGAACGCUAUGCCUGGCUAAGCCAAAGAAACUACCAGCCAGCCUUUACGUUAGGUGAAAGCCUGGGGUGAGACCCGAGCCGUCUACACAAGCUCCAGGCUAACUCUAUAAAGCUAUUCCAGGAGACCAUUGGCAGCUCCAGCCCCAUCCCCAACAUGCACUGGGCACAUCGGCUUCCAUACCUAUAAGUCACAACUCAUUUCUACCAUAAACAAGGGGCCACGCUCAUUAUUCUGCGAUCACUCUGUGCUAACUCGUAUAUUGCUACUUAUAAUAAGAAUAUCACUGGCUAAAGCUUAGACUAUCACUUUGUUGUGGUGGAAUUUUCUUAAAAGAUAAACAGGAUGUAGAAAGUUCCAGCAUGCAUGUCAACAACCACAGAAACGGCCACGAUCAACCACGUGGGUGAGCUGCCAGAACAGUGUGCCCAUCACCGUCCCUUCCGAGAAGCAUUUGCAUGUUGGCCACAGCCAGCCCUCCCUGCUGGUAAAAGUCAAACCCCCUGUUCACCAAAGGACCCGAAACAGUGAAGUCUGGUUACACUUUCUCUCCAAUCCAAACAUGCCAAAGAAAAAAAAAAGAGCAGUGGCUUGCCACAUUUGAGAUGUUACCAGCCUCCGUGCCUACAGAAAUGGUCCUUGCAAUGGUCUUGAAGACCAGCUCUGUGGGUCCCUGUGGCCUCGCACAGUCCCGUAGAUGAAUGACCACUGGCCAGCCCAUCCACAGCCUGGUGGCUUGCCGCAGUCUCCCUUGGGGCACUCCCCACUUCUGCACACCAUUCCUAGAGCCUCGCUGGUGUUCAUUAGAACCCAGGAGAAGCCGGGUUCAAGCUCCUCACUUCUCAGUGCGGGUGCCCAGGCCCAGCCCUACUCAGGCCUGUGUCGCACCUUCACUGGAGCCGGAGGCCCACCCUCACGGGCU